rnacentral:misc_RNA from 1 species
UCGUAACAAGGUUUCCGUAGGUGAACCUGCGGAAGGAUCAUUACCGAGUGAGGACCUAACCGGUCCAACCUCCCACCCGUGUCUAUCGUACCUUGUUGCUUCGGCGGGCCCGCCAUUCGUGGCCGCCGGGGGGCAUCUCGCCCCCGGGCCCGCGCCCGCCGGAGACACCAACACGAACACUGUCUGAAGGUUGCAGUCUGAGUCGAUUUAUUUAAUCGUUAAAACUUUCAACAACGGAUCUCUUGGUUCCGGCAUCGAUGAAGAACGCAGCGAAAUGCGAUAAUUAAUGUGAAUUGCAGAAUUCAGUGAAUCAUCGAGUCUUUGAACGCACAUUGCGCCCCCUGGUAUUCCGGGGGGCAUGCCUGUCCGAGCGUCAUUGCUGCCCUCAAGCACGGCUUGUGUGUUGGGUCGCCGUCCCCUUCCCGGGGGACGGGCCCGAAAGGCAGCGGCGGCACCGCGUCCGGUCCUCGAGCGUAUGGGGCUUUGUCACCCGCUCUGUAGGCCCGGCCGGCGCCUGCCGACCACCAACCUUUUUUUUACCAGGUUGACCUCGGAUCAGGUAGGGAUACCCGCUGAACCUAAGCAUAUCU